rnacentral:lncRNA from 1 species
CUGUAUUUUACCAGGAAAAUUGAACCACAACAUCCUUGCUAAAUAACUAGUCUGGCAUGUUUCUUCGUGGUCUUGGGAGUUAAAGCCACUGAUUGGACAAUAAUUUAGCUUUCAGGCAAAGUUUCUAAAACAGAGAAUUAAUGAAGGAAAAGAGUUUUUUUUUUUUAAUUUUGCAGUUAUAGGAGAUUUUAGAAAAGGGCAUAUCCAGCGUUCUUAGUAUUUUUUUGGGUGAAACUUUUAGAUAUUUUUUAAAAUGAAUGAAGGUGGUGCUUAUUUUUGGUGGGACCUGCAAGUUAAAUGGGGCAUUUUGUUUUGUGCAACUAAAGCUGGCUGAAUUUCAUUUAAGAUGAAGGCAGUUAGUACUUGUAUAUUAAUUUGCACAUAAUUUGUAAUUUAGCAGAGGACAGUGGAUUGGUAUUUUAUUCUUAUGUAUGGCUGUAAAUUUUUAUUUUUGAGCGUCCAAAUUUCGAGGAAGGAUAAAUGUGAUUCAACUAAGAUUACAGGCUAGUGAACUGAUUGCUGUUUUACAAUUUUACAAGGGUUAAAGUGGGAGUGAAAAGAUGUGUUUCUGUGUGAUGCCAAGGGCAAUUCAUCAGAUAUUGCUGAAGCCUUAUGUACUUUUUUGGUUAUAUUUUUAAUCGAGAAGUGGAGUUGCUGAGAAUUGAACUUAAGAGACUGAUUCUUUUCUUUAGACCUAAUGAAGAUAUGAUGUAAUUUUCAAAAUGUUAGAGGAGCAAUUUAUAAACUGAUCAGUUCUCUCUCUUUUAGGAUUUUCAUGUGGAGAGAAGCUAAUACAGUUGUCUUUGAGCUAACAAAAAUAGGAAAAGCCCUGGAGUUUGAGUAUGCAUGAGGUAUAGAUGUCUCACUGGCCAUUAAUUGUUUGCGAUAUCGUGAACACUUUGUUUCUUACCGGAGUUUGUUUCCAUUUGGAAAAAUAAGAAGCCCCUGCACUAGUUGAGCUGUCUGGCUUGCUGGCAAGUGGGUGGCCAGUUGGGUUUUCAAUCCCGGUUAAAAAAUUUGUUGUUCUGAAGAUGUUAAAGACUGAAUGCAAGGUAGUGAAGAAGGUUUUUAAAGAUGCUUCGCAUUAAUAUUACUUAGUUGGCCCAGAUUCACUGCUCUGAUUUGAAACUGAUAAAUUUUAGACAGGAGAUUGAGAAUUAGAUUUCAUCUGUGAGAUGAAUAUGGUAAGAUUGAGAAUUUGAUCAUAGAGAUCAAUAUGGUAAGAUGUUGUGCAAAACUACAAGUACUUGCGGAAAUAUUUAAGGCAUUUUUUUCCUUCAUUAAUUAAUUAUCACUUCUUUUUUUCCAUUUAUAUAUGAAAGGAAUUUUCUUUCUCAUAAUUUGAGCUGAUCUAACCAUUUUUAGGUGAAAGCUUUUCUGAGACUUUGGGACUAAUAACUGGGGAUAUUGGUAAUCACCAUUAACAGCCUAGUCCCCACAUCUUUAGAGACAUGUGACAAUUUAUUCAUCUGGAGCUAUUUUUUAGAUUUUUAAUUUUUAAUAUAGCG